rnacentral:lncRNA from 1 species
CCAACUAGAUUACUAGCAAAUAUUUCAUAAUUUUUAACAGACCAAAUUAAAAUAUAAGAUACAAAGUACACUACCAUGGAGAUAUAGGAUUCCAAAUAAUUAAGAUANNNGUGAAGUAAGCAGCCAUAAAUGUCCAUAUGCAAUGGUUAAUAAAAUAAGGUGAAACAUCACAAAUAAUAAGUAAGUGCUAUAAUAUAAUUUAAAAUAAUUAAUUUUUAAACUCAUAAGGGACGAGCACUUCAACAGAAUCUUAACUCCAAUACUAGCAGCCUUUCGGUUCUCUUAUUCCAAUAGGACUGACGACCAAAGAGCAAAGCUCAACUAUGGUCCUUAAAUCCAGUAUGGUCACUUGAUUUCUAAUAAAGCCGGCAUCCAAAAAGCAAUGCUCGACUAGGAACCUUUCCCCCGACAAUCAAAUUCUCACAGCCCAGAGAAUUAUACUCAACCAGGGCAAAUCCCAAAAUAUUAUUUUGCUACCUGUCUCUGAUUCAUAACGAUGCGCACGUAGUUCUGAUGAAGUCCAUCAAGUGGCAUAUUCUACUGCUGUCUCAUCCCGAGUCAAUAUACUAUGAUAAUAUCGGCAAUGUGGAAAAUGAUAUAUAAACAACAAGUAAUUUAACUAUUGUUCAAUGGCUUAUUAAAUAAGAUUGAACAGCAUGUAUUUGGCAAUCAUAAAUUUAAUUAAUUAAAUAAAAAUUAGAUAGAUAAUUAAUUCCAUAAAUAAUUAUUUAGAUGAAUAAUAAAUAACUACUCUAAAAUUUAAAAAUCAAUCAAUCAAUUGGAUAAAUAAUAAAUAAAUAAUUAAAUAUAAAAUAAGAAUUAAUAAAAAUUUCCAACACUAUUCACCAAUAUAUAUAUAUAUAUAUAUGAUAAUAAUAAUAUACGUAAUAAUUAUUAAUUGAAUAUAUAAAAAUUUGGCAUUGGCACAUGUAUAGAAGAUAUAUGACUACACCUCGGAUGGAGCUGGUUGGAUGGACAAAUUAUCUAUUCACAAACAUUACUCAAUUAAUAAGAUAUUUAUAAUUUUUCCUAAACCUAGACUCCUGAAUUAGACUGCCUGAGAAAUUUUGACUCGGAAAUUCUGCUAAAAAUUUGGUAGAACCUCCCAUAAAAUAUAGACGUUUACCCCUCUUAUAACGGGUCCAAAACCUGCUAAAAAUACUUCAAAUAUUUCACACUUAUUUAACAAGAGUCGGACCAUCAAGACUGUAUUAUUUUUCUCCGAUUCCACAAUGCAAUUCAAACCACAAAAUUAUUUAUCUGCUCGGCAUAGACAUUUAAUUCUCAACUAUCCAAGUAAUUUACUGGUACUUAAAACUAAUUAUACACAACCAUAUUUAUCACAAAUCAGAGUAAUAAUUAAUCAUACUAAUUAAUUUAUAAUACUUAUAACUGAGUUGUCAAUCAAUUAAAUUUAAUUAAAUUAAAUUAUUUAUAAUUUAUAAUUAAUAGUAAAACAUUAUUAAAAUUUUUAAAAUAAUUUUUAAAUUUAAAUAAAAUCAUACCGAGCUGAAAGCCGAACUUCUGCGCGUUCGUGGGUAACGAUAUCGAAUUUUGAAUUCGGAGACAUCUACGCGAAGCUUGAGCCUCGAGGAGUCUGAAUAUGCCAAAAUUACAGCCUAACUCUUGUCGGAAAAUGCUAGAUCGUGGAGAAGAGAAUCUGCUCCGAUGAGGCUAUACGAAGGUUGCCGGCGGGGGAGAAACGGCGGGGAAGAUUGACUUGGAGAUUUUCGAUGGUGGGAAGCUCGUUUCCAUUGCCGGAUUUGCGAGGUAAGGGCGAUAGAAGGCUGCACUUGUAGCGGCAGUGAGGGAGAAGAUUUUCCUUCCUCCAAAUUGUUGACGGCAGCAAGGAAGGAGGAGAAGAUGACGUCGCCGGCGAGAAAGGGGAAAGGAGAAGGAGUUGUGGCGGCGAAAAUUGGGGGUGGGGGGGUUGAGGGGGAAGGAAGAAGAAGGUGAUGGGGAGAGAGAAGGAGGGGAAGAUUUUUUUUUUUUUCCUAUUAUAUUUUUUCUUUAAUAAUAA